CCUACGGGAGGCUGCAGUGGGGAAUAUUGCACAAUGGGGGAAACCCUGAUGCAGCGAUGCCGCGUGAGUGAGGAAGGUCUUCGGCAUGUAAAGCUCUAUUGGCGGGGAAGAAAAAGACGGUACGGGAGUAAGAAGCCCCGGCUAUCAACGUGCCAGCAGGCCCGGUAAUACGGGGGGGGCAGGGGUUAUCCGGAAUUAAUGGGGGUAAAGGGAGCGUAGGCGGCGAGGAAAGUCUGAAGGGAAAGGCACCGGCUGAACCGAGGAACAGCUGUGGAAACUGUGUGGCUGGAGUACAGGAGAGGUAGGCGGAAUUCCUAGGGUAGCGGUGAAAUGCGUAGAUAUUAGGAGGAACACCGGUGGCGAAGGCGGCAUACUGGCCGUUAACUGACGCUGAGGCUCGAAAGCGUGGGGAGCAAACAGGAUUAGAUACCCCGGUAGUC
rnacentral:rRNA from 1 species